rnacentral:rRNA from 1 species
CCUACGGGAGGCUGCAGUGAGGAAUAUUGGUCAAUGGGCGCGAGCCUGAACCAGCCAAGUCGCGUGAGGGAAGACGGUCCUAUGGAUUGUAAACCUCUUUUGUCGGGGAGCAAAAGACGCCACGCGUGGCGUUCCGAGAGUACCCGACGAAAAAGCAUCGGCUAACUCCGUGCCAGCAGCCGCGGUAAUACGGAGGAUGCGAGCGUUAUCCGGAUUUAUUGGGUUUAAAGGGUGCGCAGGCGGAGGAUCAAGUCAGCGGUAAAAUUGAGAGGCUCAACCUCUUCGAGCCGUUGAAACUGUGUGUCUUGAGUGUGCGAGAGGUAUGCGGAAUGCGUGGUGUAGCGGUGAAAUGCAGAGAUAUCACGCAGAACUCCGAUUGCGAAGGCAGCAUACCGGCGCACAACUGACGUUCAUGCACGAAAGUGUGGGUAUCGAACAGGAUUAGAUACCCUUGUAGUC